AUAAUUCUUAACGGUUAAUCCGAUAAAAAUAUAUAGAAGUGUUUCAGAAUAGACUUUUCUUUAAUAUCAGCCGCCUAUAUUUCUGACUAGCAUUUUAACCAAUUAGGU
rnacentral:sRNA from 1 species